rnacentral:lncRNA from 1 species
CAUCUUGUCACAUGAAAAUAUGACAUUGUUUCCUACUUGACAAAACUUAUGCUAAGGACAAUAAUUGAGAUAAAUGUUGAAUUAUUUGGAAUUAAUUCAAUACAAAAACAUGAUUACAAUCAAUAUACUAUAUAUUUUAUACAGUGAUUCUAACUAAACUAACUUACACUACCAACUCCAACUAUAUGUAACAAAUCUAUAACCGUAUCUAACUGAAAUAGAUUUUCCAGAAACUCACAUAGUUGCAAACAGGCUACAAAGGGUAAGCAGAAUAAUUUUUUCUUGUUCUUUUGGAUCAAUGAGCAAAACAUUAUUACCAAUUCAAACCACACAAAGCAACAAAAUAAUCCAAUAUAUACAAUAUGACCACAAAAUUAUGAAACCAAAUGAAAUAAAACAGUUAUUAUUAUUAUUACUAAAUAAAAAGAUUGAAAGCAGUUAAUUCCGAAAAUACAAUAAAAAGAAAGCAAAUAAUUUUAAGAAUUGCGUUCAGGGAAAGANN